rnacentral:rRNA from 1 species
AUUGAACGCUGGCGGCAGGCUUAACACAUGCAAGUCGAACGAGUGGCGGACGGGUGAGUAAUGCUUGGGAAUCUAGCUUAUGGAGGGGGAUAACUACGGGAAACUGUAGCUAAUACCGCGUACCAUAGGAUGAGCCCAAGUGGGAUUAGGUAGUUGGUGAGGUAAAGGCUCACCAAGCCGACGAUCUCUAGCUGGUCUGAGAGGAUGACCAGCCACACUGGGACUGAGACACGGCCCAGACUCCUACGGGAGGCAGCAGUGGGGAAUAUUGCGCAAUGGGGGCAACCCUGACGCAGCCAUGCCGCGUGAAUGAAGAAGGCCUUCGGGUUGUAAAGUACUUUCAGCGAGGAGGCGUUACUCGCAGAAGAAGCACCGGCUAACUCCGUGCCAGCAGCCGCGGUAAUUC